rnacentral:rRNA from 1 species
GACCUCGGAUCAGGUAGGAAUACCCGCUGAACUUAAGCAUUCG